rnacentral:misc_RNA from 1 species
GAUGAAGAACCCAGCGAAAUGCGAUAAGUAAUGUGAAUUGCAGAAUUCAGUGAAUCAUCGAAUCUUUGAACGCACAUUGCGCCCGCCAGUAUUCUGGCGGGCAUGCCUGUCUGAGCGUCAUUUCAACCCUCAUGCCCCUAGGGCGUGGUGUUGGGGAUCGGCCAAAGCCCGCGAGGGACGGCCGGCCCCUAAAUCUAGUGGCGGACCCGUCGUGGCCUCCUCUGCGAAGUAGUGAUAUUCCGCAUCGGAGAGCGAUGAGCCCCUGCCGUUAAACCCCCAACUUUCCAAGGUUGACCUCAGAUCAGGUAGGAAUACCCGCUGAACUUAAGCAUAUCAAUAAGCGGAGGA